CUCAUUUGAAACCUGAAAGCCACCAACGGCUCCUUGGAAACCAAACAUAGGGCUACUGUUUCUCUGUUACAGUACUUUCUUUCCACUGUGGUUGGGAAUGCUAUCAGAGAGACAACAACAGCAGCAACAAUCAUGGAGACUCCAAGUCACUGCCAAAGCCAACAACUUCAACUUCUGAUUCAGAUUCGCCGCUGCAACUUCCAAACCCACUUGGAAUUUCUCCUUCUUCCGCCUCUCCAUUCUCCUCAAGUUUCCUAAAUUCGCCUUAAAAUUCGCUUCACACCCCACACAACCACCACACCGACCAGGAUUCUUCGCUACCAAAUUCAUGAAAAUUGUCCACAAACUUCGACCCAGAUUGCCCGGAAAGAAGGAAUCAAAUGUUUCAUAUCCAAAGGUUAAUCGUGUAACUUAUCAGGACCUACAUCGUGUUGGCUUUUGGGUUAUGGGGAUUCUAGCAUGUGUGGCUGGAUCUAUCAGCAAGAGUGGUGAGAGGGGAGUGUUGAUGCUUGGUUCUGUGUGGUAUUUGUUGCUUCUGUUCUGGAAAAUGAAGAUAGUGAAUUUAGUAGCAUUCUUAGUGGUGGUGGGAACGAUAUUUUAUUACUUGUUUUUUAAUUUUGAUUGUAAUUAUUGUUAUUGGGAGUACAUGGCAAGGUCAUGGAAUAAAAUGGUUAAUCUCUGGUAGA